UGCAUAGAGCAUGGCCACCCCCAAUCAUUUGUGAUGCAGAUGGAUUCUCCACCUGGUUGGUGCCAUGUUGCCUGUUUCUUCACUGUACACGUGGUAACAAAGAAAUGGGAAGAAGAUAAGAGCCUCCACGCUGGACAUGCCUGGCCCCAAGGAAGAGUCCUGUCCUGUACCCGGGAGGAAGAAAUGCUACACAGAGAAGCCAAGAUGAAUCUGAACAGACAGCCUUUGUCAGUUCCACAGAUUCCAUAAAAGUUAACUCCAGAGCAGAGAAUAAUGCCACAGUCGGGAUAACAUCCGAUAUUUGCAGUCAGAAGAAAUAUGAGACAGAGUCUUGCUCCAUCACCCAGGCUGCAGUGCAGUGGCGCGAUCUUGGCUCACUGCAAGCUCCACCUCCCGGGUUCACGCCAUUCUGCUGCCUCAGCCUCCCAAGUGGCUGGGACUACAGGCGCCCACCACCACGCCCGGCUAAAUUUUUUUGUAUUUUUAGUAGAGAUGGGGUUUCACUGUGUUAGCCAGGAUGGUCUCGAUUUCCUGACCUCGUGAUCUGCCUGCCUCGGCCUCCCAAAGUGCUGGGAUUACAGGCGUGAGCCACUGCGCCCGGCUGUAAUUAUUCUUUUCGUGUUAAGCAAUGGUAAAAGAACUGACUGAAAAUAAGAAUAUUAAAAAGUUUCUCUGCU